rnacentral:lncRNA from 1 species
CAGCUUAUGAGUCGGGCGCAGUCCUUGUUUUUGUGCCACACCUUUUUCUGUUUUGGUGCUGCGUCACCCUAUUUUGGACCAAUGGCCCAUGUAUCAAGUUGAGUCCAUUAGGGACGCGUCCUAGGGUUGGAGGACGACUCUAGCACCCCUUUGGUCGUCCUCCCCUCUAUUUAUUUACAUCUAGAGCCGCCAUGAACAACUGGGUUUUGAUUAGAUAAAGUUUAGCCUUCGCUACUUGCUUGUAAAUGCGCGUGCUGAUCCAGCCGCCCGUCUUCUUGUUUUCGAAACCCCACUUCAUUAGAGAUUGAGUUUGAAACCUUCAUUUACAUCUAGUAAUUUAGUACUUGUUCUACUUGUUCUUGCUGGUUCUUCGAUUGCUUGCAGGACGAGUGCCCUAGUGGCCGGGUGUUGCGCUCCACAAGAUCGUGACAGCCAUUGGAGGCGGUGUAUCGGUUGCUAAGGCGCGGCCUUAGAAGGCUGUAGUCGGGCCGUGAACGUCAUCUCCAUUUACUAAUCGAGUUAUCCAGCGCCUCUCAUCGAAAGAUCAGGCGAAAACCCUAGUGGGUUCACAUCAGUUGGUAAUCAGAGCAAGGUUUAUCGGUGAGAGAUUUCCAAUUCUUCGUGUUUGUUUUUCCUAUAGUCCAAAAAAAGAAAAAAAAAUAUAGCAGAUUUGUUUUCCAUAAUCCUAUAAAUCCUUUGUGCCGUGGCUAGUACUACUUAGUUAGGGCUGGUUGAAUGAGUGUUUGCUUCGGUCGUGUCCAGUGCUGGUUUUAGUUUAGUCCUUUAGAGUUUUGAGUUCUUGUCACCAUCUAGUCACAACUGCAUCCAAUCUAUUGUGGGUUGGAAUUUGAGUAGAUCUUGAUAAUAGGUGCAGCCACUUGUUGGUCUAUUCUGCGUUUCCAUCAACGUGAUCCAAAAGGAAAGAUAGCACUUCAUACUUGUGCUAGAUAUAUUGAAUUUUGAGGUUCAGCCUUACUCUAGUGAGAGGGUGAGAGUGGUGAAGUGAUAUUUUGUACUAUUUUGUUUAUAUAAUCAGGUUUUGAGGUUCCCCAAAAAAAAGAAAAGAGAAAGAAAAAAAAAUAAAAAAAAGAAAGAAAGAAAGAAAAAAUAUCAAAAAAAGGGGAUUGUUGUUCCUUUUUGUUUCCAGUAGGGCUGCUCAUUUUAUUUCUAGUGGUGUGCUGUGUUUUUCCUUUGUGUCCAGGCUCGCGUCUCUAGCACGGUCUAGGCUAGGACCAGCACAGUACCACGGUUGAGCGUUUAUUCAACUUGCUUUUUAUAACUAACGUGGUGCUAGUUCGAUCCUUGUUUCAGCCCACCUAUAGCUCCACAUAUUCUACAGCUUGAUAGGUUUUGUUGCUGCGGCACCGAUACACUUCGUCCAUUGCUGUGGAUUUGUUGGUAGCCAAUCCCUCCUGUUGAGCAAGGUAAGAAUUGGUAAGAACUUGUUAGACAGGUUGAUAGAGAGCGUCUUACAGUAGCCACAUCCUAAUAGCUGUAGGGUUUUAAUUUCUUCACCUAUUUUUCUUGUUUCCACUGUGUGUUUUUUUAAACCAUGUCAGAGACAGAGGAUACCAACAAAAUUCCACAGUCACCUCGCACUAAGGGCAUCAUACAACAUUUUGAAAGGCAAGUGAAGCUACACACAGAGGGACUUGAUGACGACUUGAAGGUGACGAAUGACAAGCUUGGGCAGUUGGAGGACACGCAGAUUGCCACAAACAACAAGAUUACAAAGAUGGAGGCAUCUAUUACUAGUAUGGAUAAAAGUCUUGCUGCUCUUCUCAAACGCUUUGAUGACUUCCACACAAUGGACAAAGAGAAGCAUAAGGAAGAAAACAAGGAGGAAGACCGAGUGGAUGGCAAUUAUGAUGAUGAUUACACUGCUGAUACGGAACGAGAUGAUCAAGACACUCAUCAUCGACGUCGCCUACGUCACACCCAUAGAGGUAUGGGUGGCCACCACCGACGCGAGGUACACAAUAAUAAUGAUGCUUUCAGUAAGAUUAAAUUUAAAAUACCUCCUUUUGAUGGUAAAUAUGACCCUGAUGCAUACAUUACUUGGGAGAUUGCUGUUGACCAAAAGUUUACAUGUCAUGAAUUCCCUGAGGAUACACGUGUUAGGGCUGCUACUAGUGAGUUCACCGAUUUUGCUUCCGUUUGGUGGAUAGAACAUGGCAAGAAAAAUCCUAAUAACAUACCUAGAACUUGGAAUGCGUUGAAACAAGUCAUGAGGGCUAGAUUUGUUCCUUCUUACUAUGCACGUGACAUGAUUAAUAAGUUGCAGCAAUUGAGACAAGGUGCUAAAAGUGUAGAAGAAUAUUAUCAGGAAUUACAAAUGGGUAUGCUGCGAUGUAAUUUAGAGGAGGAAGAAGAACCUGCUAUGGCUAGAUUUUUGGGCGGGUUAAAUCGUGAAAUCUAGGACAUUCUUGCUUAUAAAGAUUAUACUAACGUAACCCGUUUGUUUCAUCUUGCUUCUAAAGCUGAAAGGGAAGUGCAGGGACGACGUUCUAGUGCCAAAUCUAACAAUUCUGCAGGGAAAUCCUGGCAACAACGCACAUCUGCUACAUUGUCGGGUGGUCUACCUCUUCCAUCAAGCCGAUCAAUAGCUCCACCACCUUCCUACAGCGACAAACCACAUGAUUCUUCCACAAAUACAGCAACUAAAUCAGCCCAGAGACCAAUCGCUAGUGCCUCCUCGGUUAAUUCCACAGGAAGAACAAGAGAUGUUCAGUGUCAUCGAUGCAAGGGCUAUGGGCACGUACAGCGAGAUUGUCCAAACAAGCGUGUUUUGGUGGUUAACGCUGAUGGUGGGUAUUCCUCUGCUAGUGAUUUUGAUGACGAUACACGUGCUUUGCUUGCUGCUGAUGAUACAGGUAGGGAUGAAGCAAUAGAAGAGCAGAUAGGUACAGAGAAUGUAGAGCAUUAUGAGAGUCUUAUUGUGCAGCGUGUGCUUAGUGCUCAAGCGGAGAAGGUAGAGCAGAAUCAGCGGCAUACAUUGUUCCAAACAAAGUAUGUUAUUAAAGAGCGUUCUUGUCGUUUGAUUAUUGAUGGAGGUAGCUGCAACAACUUGGCUAGCAGCAACAUGAUGGAGAAGCUUGCACUUACCACCAAACCACAUCCAUAUCACAUUCGGUGGCUGAACAACAGUGGUAAGGCCAAGGUAACAAAACUAGUGCGAAUUAAUUUUACUAUUGGUUCAUACCAUGAUGUUGUUGAAUGUGAUGUUGUACCUAUGGAAGCUUGUAAUAUUCUGCUAGGUAGACCAUGGCAAUUUGAUAAGGAAUGUAUACAUCAUGGUAGAUCAAAUCAGUAUUCGUUUAUGCACCAUGAUAUGAAAAUUGUUUUGCUACCUAUGUCUCCCGAAGCUAUCGUACGUGAUGAAGUUGCUAAAAUUACCAAGCCUAAAAUUAAGAACAAUGCAGAUACCAAUGGAAAUAACAAAGAUGAGAUAAGAUUAAAUGGACAUUGCAUGCUUGCUACUAAAUUUGAAGUUAAUGAACUAAUUGCUUCCACAUCUAUUGCUUAUGCUUUGGUAUGUAAGGGUGUUUUGAUUUCAAUUGAAGAUAUGCUGCAUUCUUUGCCCCCUGCUGUUCAUAACAUUUUGCAGGAGUAUGCUGAUGUUUUUCCAAGUGAGAUACCGGCAGGGCUGCCACCUAUACGUGGGAUUGAGCACCAAAUUGAUCUUAUUCCUGGUGCAUCUUUGCCAAACCGCGCGCCAUACAGGACAAAUCCAGAGGAAACAAAAGAGAUCCAGCGGCAAGUGCAAGAACUCCUCGACAAAGGUUAUGGAAUUGAGGUUGAUCAAGCCAAGGUAGAAGCUAUACAGGGAUGGCCUGUACCAAAGACAAUCACCCAGGUGCGGAGUUUCUUAGGACUUGCUGGGUUUUAUCGCCGUUUUGUGAAGGAUUUCAGCACCAUUGCUGCACCAUUGAAUGAGCUUACAAAGAAGGGAGUGCCUUUUGUGUGGAGCAAAGUACAAGAGAAUUCCUUCAACAUGUUAAAAGAUAAGUUAACACAUGCACCUCUCCUACAGCUUCCUGAUUUUAAUAAGACUUUUGAGCUUGAGUGUGAUGCUAGUGGGAUUGGUUUGGGAGGUGUUUUGCUACAAGAGGGUAAACCUGUUGCAUAUUUUAGUGAGAAAUUGAGUGGGCCUGUUCUGAACUAUUCAACUUAUGAUAAAGAAUUGUAUGCUCUUGUCCGAACUUUAGAAACAUGGCAACAUUAUUUGUGGCCCAAAGAGUUUGUUAUUCAUUCUGAUCAUGAAUCUUUAAAACAUAUUCGUAGUCAAGGAAAACUAAAUCGCAGACAUGCUAAGUGGGUAGAAUUUAUUGAAUCCUUUCCUUAUGUUAUUAAGCACAAGAAAGGGAAGGAGAAUAUCAUUGCUGAUGCUUUGUCAAGGAGAUAUACUUUGCUAAAUCAACUUGAUUACAAGAUUUUUGGAUUAGAAACGAUCAAAGACCAAUAUGUUCAUGAUGCUGAUUUUAAUGAAGUGUUGCUGCGUUGUAAAGAUGGAAAAGGAUGGAACAAAUUCAUCGUUAGUGAUGGGUUUGUGUUUAGAGCUAACAAGCUAUGCAUUCCAGCUAGCUCUGUUCGUUUGUUGUUGUUACAGGAAGCUCAUGGAGGAGGUUUGAUGGGACAUUUUGGAGCAAAGAAGACGGAGGACAUACUUGCUGAUUUGAAACCAUAUUUGGGUGAGGAACAUGAGCUUGAGUCGAGGACGACUCAAAUCCAAGAAAGGGAGGAUGAUGAGGACAUCAACACCAUCAAUAUAUCCGCACCUACACCAGUUGGUCCUCUUACUCAUGCUCGUGCCCGUCAACUCAACCUUCAAGUAAGUUCAGUUUUAAACUCUUGUCAAUCAUAUUUAGACAAUGGAGACACGUGCACUUUCGUGUUGCUCAGGAAUAAUGGACAAGAUCAGCAAGGGAAGGUUCAACUGCAUUCGGAAUUUGAGGCAACACCAACUUCAAGGGCUGAUUGCAUAUGGGAAGAGUGAUAACUUAACAAAGGUGUUUGGAGAUCAGGUCCAAGCCUCCACAACAUCCUCUAUCAAGUUACCACGUUGCUUCUAAAGCAAGGAAACAAAGAGUCCAAACCCAACACGUUUUGUGAGUUGGAUUCGGACUGGAAAAUAACUCUAACUUGUAUGGAUCACCACGGCGUCAUAUGGACUCCAACUGGGACAUUCCUAUACUUGUUGAAAAGCUCAUGAAGUCUACUUUCCAAUGGGUCCAACCACAUAUCUAUGCAGCUUAUGAGUCGGGCGCAGUCCUUGUUUUUGUGCCACACCUUUUUCUGUUUUGGUGCUGCGUCACCCUAUUUUGGACCAAUGGCCCAUGUAUCAAGUUGAGUCCAUUAGGGACGCGUCCUAGGGUUGGAGGACGACUCUAGUACCCCUUUUGUCGUCCUCCCCUCUAUUUAUUUACAUCUAGAGCCGCCAUGAACAACUGGGUUUUGAUUAGAUAAAGUUUAGCCUUCGCUACUUGCUUGUAAACGCGCGUGCUGAUCCAGCCGCCCGUCUUCUUGUUUUCGAAACCCCACUUCAUUAGAGAUUGAGUUUGAAACCUUCAUUUACAUCUAGUAAUUUAGUACUUGUUCUACUUGUUCUUGCUGGUUCUUCGAUUGCUUGCAGGACGAGUGCCCUAGUGGCCGGGUGUUGCGCUCCACAAGAUCGUGACAGCCAUUGGAGGCGGUGUAUCGGUUGCUAAGGCACGGCCUUAGAAGGCUGUAGUCGGGCCGUGAACGUCAUCUCCAUUCACUAAUCGAGUUAUCCAGCACCUCUCAUCGAAAGAUCAGGCGAAAACCCUAGUGGGUUCACAUCAGUUGGUAAUCAGAGCAAGGUUUAUCGGUGAGAGAUUUCCAAUUCUUCGUGUUUGUUUUUCCUAUAGUCCAAAAAAAGAAAAAAAAUAUAGCAGAUUUGUUUUCCAUAAUCCUAUAAAAUCCUUUGUGCCGUGGCUAGUACUACUUAGUUAGGGCUGGUUGAAUGAGUGUUUGCUUCGGUCGUGUCCAGUGCUGGUUUUAGUUUAGUCCUUUAGAGUUUUGAGUUCUUGUCACCAUCUAGUCACAACUGCAUCCAAUCUAUUGUGGGUUCGAAUUUGAGUAGAUCUUGAUAAUAGGUGCAGCCACUUGUUGGUCUAUUCUGCGUUUCCAUCAACAUGAUCCAAAGGGAAAGAUAGCACUUCAUACUUGUGCUAGAUAUAUUGAAUUUUGAGGUUCAGCCUUACUUUAGUGAGAGGGUGAGAGUGGUGAAGUGAUAUUUUGUACUAUUUUGUUUAUAUAAUCAGGUUUUGAGGUUCCC